GACUUGGGAUCAGAUCCUGCUGCCGUCAUGAAUAGGGAUUUCUGGGAAGUGGGAAUGGAAGGGAUAACCUCAUUGAUAGUUCAAACUUAAAACAUAUUACUGAAGGAAAAAUUGAUGGCUUACUCUGUAUCAAACUGUAGCUCUUUUCUCUGGGGAUGAUAUUUGGACUAAUCCUGCAGAAAUUCCAUUUCCCAAUCUUUGAUUGGGACAGUUUUUUCAAACUUAUUUUGGGCAGGUUCUGGAGAAACCUGAAUGUUUUCAAACGAUAAUGAG
rnacentral:misc_RNA from 1 species